AUGAACUGCAUAUGUGUCAGGGCUGGCUUGCCUUGCUCUGACCGCUGCGAGUGCAAGGACUGCGUUAACACCAAGACCAGUAAGGAGAAGCUGCAGGAUCGCGGGAUUAAAAGAGAGGUUCCUGCUUCAGGUUCUGGAAUGAGCACAAUGACCGCGGGAGAAGCACUGGCUGCCAAGGAGUCUGCCGUGGGGUGCAAUUGCCAAAGUGAAUGUGCCAGUGGCUGCGGUUGCGUGAAGGGUAACAUCAGGUGCACCUCAAUAUGCAAGUGCAAACCGCGGUGCGGCAAUGACGACGGGAGCAGAUUUACCAAUAAGUCCAAGGCAGGACCUGGAGGUCAAGGAGGUACCGGCAGCAGCAGCAGCGCCGUCGAAUCGACGGGCAAAGGGCCAAAACACGGGUGA
rnacentral:rRNA from 1 species